GGAGCGGCGGCCACCUUGGGGGCAGCGCGGCGCGGCGGGGCAUCAUGCCGUACGUCCUCAUCAGUACUCAGAUCCGCAUGGUGAGCAGCUCGAGGGGAGCUCUAGGUGGGCUUGCCGGUCUGGUGCUGAGCAGGAGCGCGUCGGUGCCCAUGCCCAGGAAUGCGAGGGACGGCCCCGAACUGUUUGCUGCCCGUCCGUGUCCGCUUGCAGAGGUGGACUGGGGCGCGGGCAGGAGUUGAUCUCAUUUGCCUUUGCAGGAGGUGCCGUUGCUUCCCGGCAAUACCUCCCUGCAUUAAACAGCGGUCGGCCCUUGUUUCCUGCUUUGGCCCCUGAGCGUGCAUGAGUAUUUUCGGAGCCCGAUGGGGCUGUCUCUUUCUGUGUUGUUUAGGGCUGGUGGCGGUGUGAUUGGCAAAACCCUCCUGGGUCUAGGCAUGGAUCGAAACAUACCUGGCUGUUUUCUGGUUUGUUUCCUUUUCCAGGGAUGCCACCUGCUAAACUGUCCAGGUAACUUACAGGUCUCAACGGAUGCUCGACAGGUGGCUCCUUCUGCUGAGCGAUGGUCCCAAGGGUGGUCUGUCUGUUAGCAUGAACCUACUGUGGAUAUAUCCCAGUGUAUCAGACGGGUGCCAAGUUUGCCUUUUUGAUGCUAAAAGUUGCUGUUAUUCAGGCUGAGGAUGGAAGCAACCAGUGAUUCUGUAAAAUAGUUGCAUGAUAAGACAGUUUGCAUGUCCUAGAUUACAAACCGAUAGCGCUUACUUUUUCUCUCCUUGACAAAAAUAACGGACUGAAAUCCAAUACGUUGUAGCUUUGCACGACAAGCAGCUUGAGUCUGAUGGUAAAUUUAAAUAACGCUGCCAGAAGUUCUGUUACAUGGGAAUGACUAAUACUGCUUAUUUAUGUAGAAGAUUUUAGUAUUCAAAUCAAUUUACAUACCAGUACAUUGUUGUUGUAAUUCUUAUGACAGCUCCACAAGGUAGAGCAGUUUUAUUACUCGCAUAUUGUAGAUCGGAUGCUGCGGCUCAAAGAAAGUAGUUAGGUUAAUAUUAUCUAUGUUCAUGCCUGAGGUAAGAUUUGAACCAAGGAUUUCCUGAUUCCCAUAUUAGACUGUUAAGCUACUGCACUACACCAGCUCAUCCUACAAAAAAUGUCAGAAGGCUGCUAUUUUGUAUAUUUAUACCUUUCCUCCAAGGGGUUCAAAACAGCAUAUAGGGUGCUCCUUCUUUCUAUCCUCAAAACAGACCUGUAAGAGGGGCAUUUAUACAAUAUAUGUAUAUGCAGGCAAAUAAGUAUGCAUAUAUGUAUUUAUGUGUUUGGUGAUUUGUAUGUGUAUGUGUUGGUGACAGCAGUCACGAAAUUAAAAGACGCCUGCUUCUUGGGAGAAAAGCAAUGACAAACCUAGACAGCAUCUUAAAAAGCAGAGACAUCACCUUGCCGACAAAGGUCCGUAUAGUUAAAGCUAUGGUUUUCCCAGUAGUGAUGUAUGGAAGUGAGAGCUGGACCAUAAAGAAGGCUGAUCGCCGAAGAAUUGAUGCUUUUGAAUUGUGGUGCUGGAGGAGACUCUUGAGAGUCCCAUGGACUGCAAGAAGAUCAAACCUAUCCAUUCUUAAGGAAAUCAGCCCUGAGUGCUCCCUGGAAGGACAGAUCGUGAAGCUGAGGCUCCAAUACUUUGGCCACCUCAUGAGAAGAGAAGAAUCCUUGGAAAAGACCCUGAUGUUGGGAAAGAUUGAGGGCACUAGGAGAAGGACGUCAGAGGACAAGAUGGUUGGACAGUGUUCUCGAAGCUACGAACAUGAGUUUGACCAAACUGCGGGAGGCAGUGCAAGACAGGAGUGCCUGGCAUGCUAUGGUCCAUGGGGUCACGAAGAGUCGGACACGACUAAACGACUAAACAACAACAACAACAACAACAACAACAACAAAAAUGUGUAUGUGUAUAUGUCUAGAUGGAACCAAAUGAGCACAUUUAAAGCUGCUUGACGCAUUAUAUUUUAUCUGCACACUUAAAAAUGUAAUGUGAUGCAAACCCUAGGAAAAGGACCAGAGCUAAGUAGUAAUGCUUAUGCCUUGCAUGCAGGUUGGGGAACACUGUGAUAUUGCAUACACUGUGAUAUUAUUUAAGCACUGCUCAGUCUGUAAAAUACAGCUGAAAGAUUCCACGCCAUGAUAACUCCCAUUCUUUGCGACCUGUGUACAUAAUGCAGAUUAGGCAUAUCUUCACCCACUCUUUCCCAUAAUUUAGGCUGGAAUCCUAAACACAUCUGAGAUCAUGCAUCAUUAAACUUACUUCUGAGUCGAUAUUUAUUGGAUUGUACUGGGCAUGGAAUGGACGAGGCUGGGCAUCUCCUAGCCAACUGAAAAUGUCACUUGGUCUUUGCUCAGCACUGCCCCCACACAUUCCAAUUUAUUUUUGCCCAUAAGGACUAGAAGCUUGAGUUAAAUAGCAAAGGGAAAGGAAAUGAAAACUGUAAAGCUGAAUUUCUGGUUCCAGUGCCACUUUUAGUACUCUUUGCUUUUGUGGAAUCACAGAAUACCUACAGCUUUGUAUAUUGUGGCACGUAUACCAGUUCUUUUCUGCUUUACUAAGCACACAUGCCUGGAGCCACCCCUUACUCCUAGGUUUGGCUCUGCUGCUGCACCAGACCUGCACAGAGUUCCCUCUACUUGCAGAAAGCUUAUGUAGUAAUUAAACUGUGACCAGUCUUUGUUGAGCGGUCGCUCUGAUUUGCUUAUAGGGUGCUUGUAUGUCUAUGAGCAUUCAUCUUGAUUUGCUUGCCUUCCCAUUAAUCAGUCAUUUAUCCUACAUUUCCCUGUGCAUUUCCCUAUUGCUUUUUGAGCCGCAAAAAGAUUGUUAAGAAGUGAAUUUGUUGCAUUGCACCAACCUAAAUCUCUGAUACAGUGCAUGCUUUAAUAAUAAUUAAUAAUAAUACCCCACCCAUCUGACUGGGUUUCCGCAGCCACUCUUGGGUGGCUUCCAGCACAUAUAAAAACGUAAUAAAACAUCAAACAUUAAAAACCUCCUGAUACAGGGAAAUCCCUUCUGCAAAAUAGUGACUGUCGGGAAGCACUUUGAGUCUAGCUUUUUUAAAUCUCAACCUGAGUGACGUAUUGCCCUGUUCUUGCUAUGUAAAGACUCUAGCAGAUUCCGAUUAUAUUCAUUGCAGAGGCCUCUGCAUGCCAGCCAGAGUAUCAAACUGCAUGGGCUAGAUGUAUUGAAUGUUAGCAAAGGAAAGAAAUUGAGUUACAAAACAACUGGAAACUGAGUGAAGAGUGGCAAAGGGCAAAAUGGAAGAAACUUCCAGUCAUUUUGAUCUGUAAACACAAAGGCAGUGUGUCAUAGUACAUUGUGAAUCAAAUGGGGUUGCACAAUUGUCCUUUAAAAAUCGAAUAAAAGUUUUAAAGUCCAGUUCCUCUCUGAUACACAAAUGGAUAUUAUUGCCCUCAUAUGUUAGGAAAAGCUCUAUCAAGUUUCACCUUUGCUCCCUUGUUUCUCUGUGUGGUACACUCUACAUUGCAGCACAUUAAAAAAAUUUUUUUUUAAAGAAAUCUGUAGCAGAUCAUGUGGGAUAACCAGCCUCAAAUAACCUACGUGCUUAGGUCUAAUUUAUGCAUGAAGGGGUUAAGACCGUAGAGUAAGCCGUCUUGCAUGGCUUAGCCCAUCUUGGGAGGGACUAGGUAAUCAAGACUUUGUUUUUGUCAGCCUACCUUGGUUGCUCCAAGCUCAGACCACAUGGCUCUAACAAGCCUCUCUUGAAUUCCUAUACCAAUAAUUUAGGGACUUCUACCACUGUCACUAAGGCAGGUUUACUGCCUGUAACUUUUCCUGAAUGCUGUGUGGGAAAGCACAUGAAUAUGACCUUUGCAGAGUUUGAGGUUGGGCCCACCAUGGUUGGCGAUGAGCAUUCUGACCCAAACCUGAUGCAAUACCUUGGGGCCACGAAAAGAAACAUGUUGGGGAACCAUUUGUAAGUAUUUCAUCUCCCAUUUUUUUGCUUCUCCAUCCUUUGGUUAACCAGUCAGAGAUUUUGAUAGUAUAAUGUGACUUUUGCCUUUUGAUUUUGCAUGUGCAUUGCAAAUACAAUACUUAUGGGCAAUUCACAUGUCUUUGUGUUCAUCACCGGGAUGCCUGCAGUAUCAAAUAGUGCCUUGCAUGUGUGAAUAGGCCAUCACAGCUACAGCACUGCAGGCAAGAUGUUCCUAUCACCUCUCAAACCCGUGGUUUUUCAGUGGAUUUCAGUCCACACAUCCAGCUGCUAGUGUAAAUGAAACAAAAAUAAAGUAACAAGUGUAGAUAAGCCAAGUGAAUAUGGGAACCAGACUUUAGUUUAGUUUUUAGGCAAUACUGAGUUCAAUAGACCAGUGGUUUGACUCAUACAGUGUAAGGCAGUUUUUUAUAUGUUCACGUGUGAAUUGGAAUCUAAGCAUUUGGAGGCACGGUGAAAAGUCCAUUACCAACUCAGUGUCUACAGUUUAUGUCAACAUGUAGAGGGCACCAUGUUGGGUACCCCUGAUCUAAGUGGUUAAAAACAUUUCCUCACACACUGCAUCUAUGGCCAAACUAUGCCCUGCAUAGUUUGCAUAGAGUCCCAUGGACUGCAAGAAGAUCAAACCUAUCCAUUCUGAAGGAAAUCAGCCCUGAGUGCUCACUGGAAGGACAGAUCGUGAAGCUGAGGCUCCAAUACUUUGGCCACCUCAUGAGAAGAGAAGAAUCCUUGGAAAAGACCCUGAUGUUGGGAAAGAUGGAGGGCACUAGGAGAAGGGGACGACAGAGGACAAGAUGGUUGGACAGUGUUCUCGAAGCUACGAACAUGAGUUUGACCAAACUGCGGGAGGCAGUGGAAGACAGGAGUGCCUGGCGUGCUCUGGUCCAUGGGGUCACGAAGAGUCGGACACGACUAAACGACUAAACAACAACAUGCCCUGCUGUUCACCUUCAUCAUUCAGCUCUGUGAAAACUAUGUGUAUUCUUUAGGAUGGAUGGAACACUCCACCCUGCUGCUGAGAUGUUUCCUGGACUUCAGUCCAAAGUAAAUGAAAAGAGUCCUCUUCAGGCCUAGCUGUGGUUGCUGGAUCCACCCCUUCCAUCUCGUCCCCUGCUGGCCCCGCCUCUGCUAUCCAUGCAUUAGGGAGGGGGGAAAUCUGAAGCAAAAAGCCUGCUGUAUACUUGUACACUCGCAGGUCAGGCUCCAGUGCAUGCAUGCAUCCAGUGCAUGGAGGGCAGCAGGGGUGGGCAAUGGGGUUGUGACCAGCAAGUGUGGCCCCACUUUUCCUCUCAUGCAGUAAACAUCGUGUGAGGGCUUAAUGCCAGAAUAGGGUUGGAACAAAAGUAAAAAAAUGAAGGCCCAUUCAUCCUGAGAAAUUUCAGGAGGAGUGUUCCAGCCACUGUCCCUUGCGGGACUCUCAUCUUGCUUCAGCCCCUAAAUAUAUAGGAAGCUGCCUUGCACUGAGUCAGACCAUUGGUCCAUCUAGCUCUAUAUUGCCUGCACUGACCAGCAGCAGGUGGAGCUCUCUCCCAGGCCUACCUGGAGAUGCCAGGGAUUGAACCUGGGACCUUUCUGCAUGCAGAGUAAAUUUUCUACCACUUCCUCAUCAUUAGUUCAACUUCUGCCUUGUGCAUUUCCCCCCUUCCCGUCCUCAGUCUGUUUUCAGUCUGGUGUUCCUUUGACAUUCUUUCAAGUAUGUCAAAAGCCCUUUUCAGGUGUUAUAAUCUCCCCCACAAGUAGCAUUGUGUGAUGAAGAGCACCCAAAACUUUUAGCCCCCAUCACUGUUCCUGUCACCCUCCAAUGCUGGAGAGUGAACUUCUGAAGCAGGAAGCCUCCUAUACUUGUGGAAGGUCCCCACACAAUACAGAACCCUCUAAUUACGAUUUAAACACACAGUUUUGAAGGUGAUUGCUUUAUUGUUUCAUAACUAUAAGGUGAGACUGAAAAUCUCUUGAAACAAACAAGUCUUUCAGAUUUGAAGAAGAGGAAAAUUAAGGAACAUUUUCCUCCCACAUGAACAUUUACCUCAGAGAUAAGAACUAAGAAAUGGUGAAGAAGAACUAGUGUUUCCCCCGUCAUUUAUAAUCAUGCCCUUCUUAAAACCACAAUGUACUCUUAAUGAUGUUUUCUGCUCUUUCCCUUCUCAUUGUCAUAUUCCCUGAUCGUACAGCUUAUACUGUACUUGAAAGCAACUAUUUUAUUAGCAGAGAAAAAGUGAUUUAAUGUGUAAAAUUGCAUUGCUGGAAAAUGGCAUUUGUUGGAAGCACCAGCUUGUCUUGAGGGGCCCCCUAGAAUUCUGAUCAGCUGCCUUCCUGCAAGUGCUUUCAAGAAAGAGCGAGGACCUUUAAGCCUUGGGUGAUGAGUGUGGCCCUCGAGACCUCUUUUUGACCCUUGAGACUGUCCCUAGGCCAAGCCCCCUCCAGGUGUGUGCAUGUGGGGGGAAACAACCCUCUGACUUUUGUGUGGAUGGAAUGUAGCCUAAUGUCGAAAGGUAAGAAUUGCAUCAAUUGCUGCAUCCACUUUUACCUCUGACCCCACCUACCACUGGCAUGUGGCCCCUGGAAGGCAGUACAUGAGAGAAUGCGGCCUUUAGACUGAAAAAGAGUCCUUACGCCUGCCGCUGAGUUCUUGUGCUCACCAGAGAAGUGUCCUUGUUCAUUUCCAGCAGGUGCGUGGCAACUAUGUGGUAGGAUGCAACAACAACAACAACUUUAUUAUUCAUACGCCGCCCAUCUGGCUGGGUCUCCCCAGCUACUCUGGGUGGCUUUCAGCAUAUCUUAAAACAGGCAUCCCCAAACUGCGGCCCUCCAGAUGUCUUGGCCUACAACUCCCGUGAUCCCUAGCUAACAGGACCAGUGGUCAGGGAUGAUGGGAAUUGUAGUCCAAAACAUCUGGAGGGCCGAAGUUUGGGGAUGCCUGUCUUAAAACAUAAAACAUCAAGCAUUAAAAACCUUGAUGCGAGAGGAAUCCUGCCUGAGACUUUCUUUUAGAUUGGAUAUAGGCAACAUGGUGCCAUCCAGAAUUUGUGAAUUGCAACUCCCAUCAGCCCCAGAAGGCAGGGCCAAUGGUCAAAGAUGAUGGGGUUUGUAAUCCAAAACAACUGGAGGGUGCCGCACGUGGCCUUUCCCUGCUCUAGGGCUUGCUGUGAGAAGUGUCACUCCCUCAUGUCAACUUUUGUACUUGGCUGACGUGUCCCCAAACAUGACAAGUUCUAAUUCUUACCCCAUCCAUUUCUAGGAUGCAAUCAAUGUUUAGUCAGUGGAUGCUUUUCCUGUCUCCGUUGCCACGGUGAAAAGCUGCAUAGCUUGCCUCCUCCCUUUUGUAAUUGAAGAGGAGGAAGAGGGGAAAAAAUAAAAAACAAACCUGCCUUGGUGGAAUGUAGGGCUAUACUUGGCAUCUUUGCUGUGGGUGUGAAAACCUGCAUGCCAAGAAGGUUAAGUCAGAGGGAUCAGUUCAGAGAACCAAGUAGGAACACAACCAAGGGAGGCCUAUUAAAUUAUCAAGGUGGAGAUUGAGCCAUACUAAGGGUAAAUUGCUUUUCUAAGCAGUUAUGGCGCCCUUCCAAGUUGUAAACGACUUGUGAAGGGCAUAUCUGCAACACUUAAAGUGUUAUAACUAAGUAGCUUUUAAAUGUAUUAAAAAAUCAGUUGCACUAAAUGAUCGUGCAGGUAACCCGCUCUUUCAGUAAAAUAAAUCCUGUUAGUUUUAAAGCAGAUGUAGGGAACCUGUGGCUCUCCAGAUAUGGUUGGAUUCUAGUUCCAGCCAGCAUGGUCAAUGUUGAGGGAUGAUGGGAGUUCUGGUUCAGCCGGAACUGGGAGGUCACACAUUCCCCACCCCUGUUUUAAAGGUGCAAGUGGAUUUUUUUUUAAAUUGAAAACAGUAUUUUGGAGUAAGCCUGGAAAUCUUAAAACAAGCAUGCAUCAGCUGGGAUUACAAAUCGCUUGGACUACUGCAAUGCGCUCUACGUGGGGCUACCUUUGAAGGUGACCCGGAAACUACAACUAAUCCAGAAUGCGGCAGCUAGACUGGUGACUGGGAGCGGCCGCCGAGAUCACAUAACACCGGUCCUAAAAGACCUACAUUGGCUCCCAGUACGUUUCCGAGCACAAUUCAAAGUGUUGGUGUUGACCUUUAAAGCCCUAAACGGCCUCGGUCCGGUAUACCUGAAGGAGCGUCUCCACCCCCAUCGUUCUGCCCGGACACUGAGGUCCAGCUCCGAGGGCCUUCUGGCGGUUCCCUCAUUACGAGAAGCCAAGUUACAGGGAACCAGGCAGAGGGCCUUCUCGGUAGUGGCACCCGCCCUGUGGAAUGCCCUCCCACUAGAGGUCAAAGAGAACAAUUACCAGACCUUUAGAAGGCAUCUCAAGGCAGCCCUGUUUAGGGAAGCUUUUAAUGUUUGAUGGAUUUCUGUAUUUUAGAAUUUCUGUUUUUUUUUGGAAGCCGCCCAGAGUGGCUGGGGGAACCCGGCCAGAUGGGCGGGGUAUAAAUAAUAAAUUAUUAUUAUUAUUAUUAUUAAAUGUAGUUAACAAGAAAGUACUUAAAUAAAUGGAGAUUGUGUGGCUUGAAUCCGGGUCACACACAGCCACGGUUUUCCCCACAGAGCAAGAUGACCUCUCAUCUAGCCCCAAAUAUGUGGCAAGGACCACAGAAAUGUCAAAAAUGUUUCGGCGAUGCUUAUUAUCCUUUAUUAGUUGGGAUGUAUCAAGAGCAGUCAGUUUGGAUUCCCUUGUUAAUUUCUUCUUAUCAGUUAGAUUCCCAAGUUGUAGGCCGUCCUUCCUAUUUCCUCAUUAUUCAAAGGGCAUUUUAAUGUUUCUAUAAGUGAUCCCUAAACUGAAAAAAGAAAAGAUAUGCUGAAGAUUCCACAGCCAAGUUCAACUCCAAACUUGCAUUUACAGUACAGUUGGUUUUGACGUCACUCUGCCAUGAAGUGUGUUAAGCUUCAUGCUAAUCCUAUCUAGAUCAGCCAAUACCUAAGCUGGCAAGAGCUGAUGAAUUGUUCGCUCUGGCGAACAGGGAAGAAAGGGGCUGCUUUCCUGCCUGCGGAGCGCUUUAAAGUUGGUGGCCCCGCCCCGACCGACCUCAUUGGCCGGUCGGGGGUGACGCAGGCGGGAACCUACCAUCGCGUAGGGGCUGAGCUUGCAGCCCCUACGCGAUGGUACAGUCGGGCAGCCCACAACCCCACCUCCGUCGCAGGCUCAGAAGUGGCUUUGCGGUCCAAAACAUCUGAAGGGCACCAGGUUGGAUAAGCUGCUCUAGAGAGUGUGAUUGGUCUGUAUGGGGCCUACUAUCCAAAGCAACAGGCACAGAGUUAGAUAAUACUUACACACUUUUUGACCAGCCCAUAGAAGUGGAGCUGCUGAUAUUUCUUGCAUAGAGAUGCUUUAAUUACUGCCAUAUUACAACCUGUUCCCUGUUCCUUGUAAAAGGCUAGCUAAUAGGUUUAGCCUUUAUGAUUUAACAUAUUGCUCAAGAUUAAUGAGUUAAUCAUGUCUGUGAUCUUCUGUGAUGGAGCCAAUAUUAAAUUGCUUUUUGGUGUGUACAACAAUAUUCCCUACAUCCAUUAAAUAUGCCCUGAAAUUGAAGGGGGCCUUACUUUUCCUGAGUAACAAGACAUUUAAGAUAGGAUUACCAGUAUUCGUAGUGCAUGUGCUAUGCAGACACAAACUGGAUAAAAUGUACAGGUGAAACUCGGAAAAUUAGAAUAUCGUCGAAAAGUGCAUUUAUUUCAAUAAUGCAAUUUAAAAGGUGAAACCAAUAUAUGAGAUAGAUGCAUGACAUGCAAAGCAAGAUACCGUAUGUCAAGCCUUUAUUUGUUGUUGUAAUUGUAAUUAUUUGUCGUUAGGCGGGUCAAUUAUAAAUUGAAUGUAAUUAAUGAAAUGUAGUAGCCAUGUUUAGUUUUGUUUAUUUUUGUAUUAUUGUAACUAUUUGUUUUAUUACUGUGGAAUUUCCAAAAGAAAGCAUUUGUAAAAAUAAAAAAUAAAAAUAAGUUGCAUUCCUGAAAUAAAUGCAAUUUUCGACGAUAUUAUAAUUUUCCGAGUUUCACCUCUAUAUUUCACAAUCACUCCCGGCUAUGUUUUUGAGAUGCUGAAGAAAUACUAGGUGAUUUUCCUUCAGAAUAUACUGGCCCUUGCCUUUCUCUGCACCCUUUUCCAAAUCUUGAAAUAGAAGUUUGACUGGAAGAUUACAAUCACCAAAGUGACUCUUGUAUCCCCUAGGGUGGGACCAGGAACCUUUUUUCAGGAUGAGGGCUCUGCUCCAUUCUCUUCUGGCAACCUUGCAGGAGCCACAUGCUAGGGGUGGGUGGGGCCAGAGGCAAAAGUGGGUGGAGCAAUAGUUGUGAAUUCUACUUGUAUAUUGUAGGGUAGUUUCUUCACAUCUCUCUCUCUGUAUCCCCUGUUCAAGCAAGUAAGAAGCAUUAUCAGGGCUCAAAGGCACAUUCUAGCCAGGCAAAGACACUCAAGGAGGGUGUGAACCAGAGCUAGUGAGGGGUUUGGCCUGAGGAGAGUCCCAACGGCCAGAUUUAAGGAGGAAUUCAAUGUCACUCUCUUCCAGUGUUAGAAAUUCCCCAGCCGCCAGGCACAUUUUGCAACUGGUGUGGGUGACCACAUGGAGAUCUCUGGAUGCCAGGUUGGCAACUGACAUCUCCAGCUGGCUGGCCCCUCCAGCUUUCCUAAGCAGGUAAGCAGAAGAGCUUAUUUAUCUCCCACCAUUUUCUCCAAGCAGUACAUUGUUCACCCCCCUCCUUAAUCCCUACGACGACCCUGUGAGGUAGGUUAAGAGGCUGUGACUGGCCCAAGAUCACCUAGUGAGCUUCAUGACUGAGUGGAGAUUUGAACCCUGAUCUCCUAGGUCCUAGUCCGACACGCUAUAACCACUAUGCCACAUUGGCUUCCUAGAGUACUUCCGUUAUGGGUCAGCUUUAUAAAUUAAGUAGGUAAAUAAAUAUGGGAAAGGCAAACAUCACUUAGAGAAGGAUCUGAAGUAUUUUCCUUGAAGCUUGAAUCUGCUUUAUUCUGGAUUGUUUUAUUUGAUAUUUUAAUUAGUUGUAAACUGCUUUGAGAUUUUUUUCUUUUAAAUAUAAAGUGGCAUAGAAAUGAAUAACAAUAACAAAUUCCACUGCAAAGUACCGUAUUUUUCACUCCGUAAGAUGCACUUUUUCCCUCCCAAAAAAGGAAGGGGAAAAGUCCGUGCGUCCUAUGGAGCGAAGGCUGGGGCCGGAGCCGCGCGCAGCAGGAAACCGGCUCUUGGGCUGCUUCCGUGACAGCAGAGAGGGCUGCUUCUCUCCCUCUCCCUCUCUCACCCCUUCCUUCAUUGUCUCUCUCUCUUUCUCUCUCUCACCCCUUCCUUCCCUCCCUCCCUCUUCCAACUUGAAUAAAAUAUGGGGGGGGCAGGUAAGUCCCACCUCACAUACCGUAUCAGCCUUUCUCAACCUGUGGGUCCCCAGAUGUUGCUAACUACAACUCCCAUCGCCCCUAGCUAGCAAGGCCAGAGCUUAGGGAUGAUGGGAGUUGAGGGAUAGUGGGAGCUGUAGUCUAACAACAUCUGGGGACCGACAGGUUGAGAAUCACUGCAAUUGAUCUCAAGACAAAGUGCAUGCACACUAUAUGAAUGACAAUGCCCAUCAACCUGGGGGGACGAUGACUUCCUCAAAUAUUUAAUUUGAGGCUUCUAGGAGUUGGCUGCUAUGCCUAGGACAAUCCAAGAAAGCAAAUUUUUUUUUCUUGUUUUCCUCCUCUAAAAACUAGGUGGUCAGGUGUGUCUUAUGGAGCGAAAAAUACGGUAAAAAAUAAAAAAGGCUCCUAUACCAUUAGUUUUGGGGAAUGCAACCUAGGUUUUAAGGUGCCAUUUGGCCAUUAGUUUUGAGUUUCUAACACUGCUCUCUUCUGAUCAUUCCAUCAGCACAAAGCAUAUCAGCUUGCCUGACGAACAAUUCCCCCUUUUCUCCCUGGUGUGCUGUUCUGGGAGUUCUCACAACCCCAAGAGCCAAUUGCAAGUUCAGGGAGAGGGGAGGAAACCCCAUUGCACAAGCAGAUGGCCUUGUGCAGGACUUCUGCUGACAGUACUGGUCAGGGCAGAGCUUUCCAAACUUUUCAUGUUGGUGACACACUUUUUAGACAUGCAUCAUUUCACGACACAGUAAUCCAGUUUUACUAGCAAACCAGAGGUUAAACCAACCCCUUUCCAGCCCGAGGAGCGCGGGGAGUGUUAGCGACACACAAGUUUGGAAAGCCCUGGGUUAGGGCCAGAACCUUUGGCUCCAAGGCCUGAGGUUUCCCAACCCUCUCCUAAGUCUUCUGAAAAUUUGGGAUGGCAAAGCCGUAACUGGGCAUAAUCCUGAUCUGCAUCACUUUAGUUUACACGUCCAGUUACUUUCUAUGUUUACCGAUUGUGCUGUCAGAACCUUGAUGGAAAUUUGGUAGCCUUCCCCAAGUGGUGGUUACAGUUCAGUUGAAGUUAUUUGGGAAACUGCUUCUUCUCAUUGUUUCCACAUCUUGUUUACAACAGCUGGGAAUACUAUGUGCAGGAUGCCCCUCGGAUCGUCUUGGACAAGCUGGAGAAGCGUGGUUAUCGCGUGAUCAGCAUGACGGGAGUGGGCCAGACACUGGUGUGGUGCCUCCACAAAGAAAGUACAGAGAACUCAGAUUU